rnacentral:misc_RNA from 1 species
GUACUCUCAAGCUUUGCUUGGUGUUGGGUGUUUGUCCUUUCCUUUGCGUUUGGACUCGCCUUAAAUUUAUUGGCAGCCAAUAUACUGGUUUGAAGCGCAGCACAAUUUGUGAUUCUCUCUAGCAUUAUUGCAUCCAUUAAGCAUAUUUUAACAC